rnacentral:tRNA from 1 species
AGGCGUGUAGCUUAAUUCAGUGGUUUCCAAAACCAGGGAGUGCGGGUUCAAAUCCUGCCACGCCCG